GAUAUGAGCCUGGGAGGCAUCUCCCGGGUUGUAAAGCUCCGGGCGGUGCAGGAUGAGCCCGCGGCCUAUCAGCUUGUUGGUGAGGUAAUGGCUCACCAAGGCGACGACGGGUAGCCGGCCUGAGAGGGCGACCGGCCACACUGGGACUGAGACACGGCCCAGACUCAUACGGGAGGCAGCAGUGGGGAAUAUUGCACAAUGGGCGAAAGCCUGAUGCAGCGACGCCGCGUGAGGGAUGACGGCCUUCGGGUUGUAAACCUCUUUCAGCAGGGAAGAAGCGAGAGUGACGGUACCUGCAGAAGAAGCGCCGGCUAACUACGUGCCAGCAGCCGCGGUAAUACGUAGGGCGCAAGCGUUGUCCGGAAUUAUUGGGCGUAAAGAGCUCGUAGGCGGCUUGUCACGUCGAUUGUGAAAGCCCGAGGCUUAACCUCGGGUCUGCAGUCGAUACGGGCUAGCUAGAGUGUGGUAGGGGAGAUCGGAAUUCCUGGUGUAGCGGUGAAAUGCGCAGAUAUCAGGAGGAACACCGGUGGCGAAGGCGGAUCUCUGGGCCAUUACUGACGCUGAGGAGCGAAAGCGUGGGGAGCGAACAGGAUUAGAUACCCUGGUAGUCCACGCCGUAAACGGUGGGAACUAGGUGUUGGCGACAUUCCACGUCGUCGGUGCCGCAGCUAACGCAUUAAGUUCCCCGCCUGGGGAGUACGGCCGCAAGGCUAAAACUCAAAGGAAUUGACGGGGGCCCGCACAAGCGGCGGAGCAUGUGGCUUAAUUCGACGCAACGCGAAGAACCUUACCAAGGCUUGACAUACACCGGAAA
rnacentral:rRNA from 1 species